AACGAACGCUGGCGGCAUGCCUAACACAUGCAAGUCGAACGAGACCGUCGGGUCUAGUGGCGCACGUGUGCGUGACGCCGGGUGACCUACCCUUAGGUUCGGUAUAACUGACCGAGGGGGGACCUCAUGACAGUUAGUGUCUUAGGGGCAAAGAUUUCUCGCCUUUGGGUGGGCGCGCGUUGGAUUCGUUGGUUGGUAGGGUAAAAGCCUACCAAGGCCACGAUCCAUAGCUGGUCUGAGAGGAAGAUCAGCCACACUGGGACUGAGACACGGCCCAGACUCCUACGGGAGGGAGCAGUGGGGAAUAUUGGACAAUGGGCCAAAGCCUGAUCCAGCAAUGCCGCGUGAGUGAUGAAGGCCUUAGGGUUGUAAAGCUCUUUUACCCGGGAUGAUAAUGACAGUACCGGGAGAAUAAGCUCCGGCUAACUCCGUG
rnacentral:rRNA from 1 species